rnacentral:rRNA from 1 species
AAUAUUUCACAAUGGGCGCAAGCCUGAUGCAGCGACGCCGCGUGGAGGAUGAAGGNUUNNGGGUCNUNAACUACUGUCUGGGGNNNNNAAUACUGACAGUACCCCCGGAGGAAACCCCGGCUAACUACGUUCCAGCAGCCGCGGUACUACGUAGGGGGCGGGCGUUGUCCGGAAUUACUGGGCGUAAAGCGCGCGCAGGUGGCUUGUUAAGUCAGGUGUCAAAAUGCGGGGCUCAACCCCGUACCGCACUUGAAACUGGCAGGCUUGAGUGCAGGAGAGGGAAGUGGAAUUCCUAGUGUAGCGGUGAAAUGCGUAGAUAUUAGGAGGAACACCAGUGGCGAAGGCGACUUCCUGGACUGUAACUGACACUGAGGCGCGAAAGCUAGGGGAGCAAAC